AAGGAAUAUUGGUCAAUGGGCGGAAGCCUGAACCAGCCAUGCCGCGUGCAGGACGACUGCCCUAUGGGUUGUAAACUGCUUUUAUACGGGAAUAACCGCGGUUACGUGUAACCGUUUGAAUGUACCGUAAGAAUAAGGAUCGGCUAACUCCGUGCCAGCAGCCGCGGUAAUACGGAGGAUCCGAGCGUUAUCCGGAUUUAUUGGGUUUAAAGGGUGCGUAGGCGGCCCAUCAAGUCAGGGGUGAAAGACGGUAGCUCAACUAUCGCAGUGCCUUUGAAACUGGUAGGCUUGAAUGUACUUGAGGUGGGCGGAAUGUGACAAGUAGCGGUGAAAUGCAUAGAUAUGUCACAGAACCCCGAUUGCGAAGGCAGCUCACUAAGGUAUGAUUGACGCUGAUGCACGAAAGCGUGGGGAUCAAAC
rnacentral:rRNA from 1 species